rnacentral:rRNA from 1 species
UUUUUGAAGAGUUUGAUCCUGGCUCAGAGUGAACGCUAGCGGUGCGCCUAACACAUGCAAGUCGAGCGACUCUUCGAGAGGAGCGGCGAACGGCUGCGUAACACGUUGGAACCUGCCUCGUACUCAGGGAUAACAUACCGAAAGGUGUGCUAAUACCGGAUAGUCCCGCAAGGGUAAAGCUUUCGCGGUACGAGAGGGGCCUGCGGCCUAUCAGUUUGUUGGUGAGGUAAAAGCUCACCAAGACGAUGACGGGUAGCUGAUCUGAGAGGAUGAUCAGCCAGAAUGGGACUGAGACACGGCCCAUACUCCUACGGGAGGCAGCAGUGAGGAAUCUUCCGCAAUGGGGGCAACCCUGACGGAGCGACACCGCGUGAAGGAUGACGACAU